rnacentral:tRNA from 1 species
UCCUGGUUUGCUCAGUUGGUAGAGCGCUCCACUGGAAAUGGAAAGGUCUCUCGUUCAAAACCAGGAC